AGAGUUUGAUCCUGGCUCAGGAUGAACGCUGACAGAAUGCUUAACACAUGCAAGUCUACUUGAACUUCGGUUUGGGUGGCGGACGGGUGAGUAACGCGUAAAGAACUUGCCUCACAGUUAGGGACAACAUUUGGAAACGAAUGCUAAUACCUGAUAUUAUGAUUUUAGGGCAUCCUAAGAUUAUGAAAGCUAUAUGCGCUGUGAGAGAGCUUUGCGUCCCAUUAGCUAGUUGGAGAGGUAACGGCUCACCAAGGCGAUGAUGGGUAGCCGGCCUGAGAGGGUGAACGGCCACAAGGGGACUGAGACACGGCCCUUACUCCUACGGGAGGCAGCAGUGGGGAAUAUUGGACAAUGGACCAAAAGUCUGAUCCAGCAAUUCUGUGUGCACGAUGACGUUUUUCGGAAUGUAAAGUGCUUUCAGUUGGGAAGAAAAAAAUGACGGUACCAACAGAAGAAGUGACGGCUAAAUACGUGCCAGCAGCCGCGGUAAUACGUAUGUCACAAGCGUUAUCCGGAUUUAUUGGGCGUAAAGCGCGUCUAGGUGGUUAUGUAAGUCUGAUGUGAAAAUGCAGGGCUCAACUCUGUAUUGCGUUGGAAACUGCAUGACUAGAGUACUGGAGAGGUAAGCGGAACUACAAGUGUAGAGGUGAAAUUCGUAGAUAUUUGUAGGAAUGCCGAUGGGGAAGCCAGCUUACUGGACAGAUACUGACGCUAAAGCGCGAAAGCGUGGGUAGCAAACAGGAUUAGAUACCCUGGUAGUCCACGCUGUAAACGAUGAUUACUAGGUGUUGGGGGUCGAACCUCAGCGCCCAAGCAAACGCGAUAAGUAAUCCGCCUGGGGAGUACGUACGCAAGUAUGAAACUCAAAGGA
rnacentral:rRNA from 1 species